rnacentral:rRNA from 1 species
GAUGAACGCUGGCGGCGUGCCUAACACAUGCAAGUCGAGCGAUUCUCUUCGGAGAAGAGCGGCGGACGGGUGAGUAACGCGUGGGUAACCUGCCCUGUACACACGGAUAACAUACCGAAAGGUAUGCUAAUACGAGAUAAUAUGCCUUUAUCGCAUGGUAGAAGUAUCAAAGCUCCGGCGGUACAGGAUGGACCCGCGUCUGAUUAGCUAGUUGGUAAGGUAACGGCUUACCAAGGCGACGAUCAAGUAGCCGACCUGAGAGGGUGAUCGGCCACAUUGGAACUGAGACACGGUCCAAACUCCUACGGGAGGCAGCAGUGGGGAAUAUUGCACAAUGGGCGAAAGCCUGAUGCAGCAACGCCGCGUGAGCGAUGAAGGCCUUCGGGUCGUAAAGCUCUGUCCUCAAGGAAGAUAAUGACGGUACUUGAGGAGGAAGCCCCGGCUAACUACGUGCCAGCCGCCGCAGUAA